rnacentral:rRNA from 1 species
GAUGAACGCUGGCGGCGUGCCUAAUACAUGCAAGUCGAGCGAACGGACGAGAAGCUUGCUUCUCUGAUGUUAGCGGCGGACGGGUGAGUAACACGUGGAUAACCUACCUAUAAGACUGGGAUAACUUCGGGAAACCGUAGCUAAUACCGGAUAAUAUUUUGAACCGCAUGGUUCAAAAGUGAAAGACGGUCUUGCUGUCACUUAUAGAUGGAUCCGCGCUGCAUUAGCUAGUUGGUAAGGUAACGGCUUACCAAGGCAACGAUGCAUAGCCGACCUGAGAGGGUGAUCGGCCACACUGGAACUGAGACACGGUCCAGACUCCUACGGGAGGCAGCAGUAGGGAAUCUUCCGCAAUGGGCGAAAGCCUGACGGAGCAACGCCGCGUGAGUGAUGAAGGUCUUCGGAUCGUAAAACUCUGUUAUUAGGGAAGAACAUAUGUGUAAGUAACUCUGCACAUCUUGACGGUACCUAAUCAGAAAGCCACGGCUAACUACGUG